CUGCAGCCAAUUAAGCCGACUGAGUUCCUUUUGUCAUGGGGGCCCAGUGUGCAAUGGUUGCAAACAGCAGCUUCCCUGGUAGUGAUGCAGCCUGUUUGUUGUGUGGGUUGCUCUAAGGGACCUUGGAGACAGAC
rnacentral:snoRNA from 1 species